rnacentral:rRNA from 1 species
AACAUCUCUUCUUGUUAUUUUUAUUUGAAGUAUAGUCUGCCCACUGAUAUUAUUGAAGGGCCGCGGUAUUUUGACCGUGCAAAGGUAGCAUAAUCAUUAGUUCUUUAAUUGUGAACUGGCAUGAAUGGCUUGACGAGGCGCCGUCUGUCUUUAUUUAGGGAUUAUUUGUUGAAUUUGGUAUUCGGGUAAAAAUACCUGAAUUUUGUUAUGGGACGAGAAGACCCUAUAGAGUUUUAUAUAAUUUUUUCUGUUUGGUUUGAUUUUUGAUUGAUGAAUAUAAUUGUAUUUUGUUGGGGUGAUGGGAGAAUAUAGUUAACUUCUCUUUUUAGUAUUUCAUUUAUUUAUGUUUUUGU